GAUGAACGCUGGCGGCGUGCCUAAUACAUGCAAGUCGAGCGAACAGACGAGGAGCUUGUUCCUCUGUCGUUAGCGGCGGACGGGUGUGUAACACGUGGAUAACCUCCUUAUAAGACUGGGAUCACUUCGGGAAACCGGAGCUAAUACCGGAUAAUAUCUUGCACCGCAUGGUUCAAUAGUGAAAGACGGCUUUGCUGUCUCUUAUAGAUGGAUCCGCGCCGCAUUAGCUAGUUGGUAAGGUAACGGCUUUCCAAGGCAAGGAUGCGUAGCCGACCUGAGAGAGUGAUAGGCCACACUGGAAGUGGAACACGGUCAAGACUACUACGGGAGGCAGCAGUAGGGUAUCUUCCGCAAUGGGCGAGAGUUUGGCGGAGCAGCGGCGCGUGAGUGAUGAAAAUCAUCGGAUCGUAAAACUGUGUUAUUAGGGGAGAACAAAUGUGUAAGUAGCUGUGGACGUCUUGACGGUACCUGAUAAGGAAGCCACGGCUAACUACGUG
rnacentral:rRNA from 1 species